rnacentral:rRNA from 1 species
UACGUAGGUGGCAAGCGUUGUCCGGAAUUAUUGGGCGUAAAGCGCGUGUAGGCGGCUUUGCAAGUCGGGUGUGAAAGCCCUCAGCUCAACUGAGGAAGUGCGCCCGAAACUGCAGAGCUUGAGUACCGGAGAGGAUGGCGGAAUUCCCCAAGUAGAGGUGAAAUUCGUAGAUAUGGGGAGGAACACCGGUGGCGAAGGCGGGUCUCUGGACAGUUCCUGACGCUGAGGCACGAAGGUCAGGGGAGCAAACGGG